rnacentral:tRNA from 1 species
AGUGGUUAAAGACUAUAGAGCGUUUGACUGCAGAUCAAAUGGUCAGGAGUUCAAA